GCCCUCGUAGAUCGUGGUGAUCGCUCCUGUUGCAUGUCGACUGAGUGAUAUGAUUUCAGGAGAGGCGGAGGUUCGAAUCCUCCCGGGGGCU